UACGUAGGGUGCGAGCGUUGUCCGGAAUUAUUGGGCGUAAAGAGCUCGUAGGCGGCCUGUCGCGUCGGAUGUGAAAGCCCGGGGCUUAACCCCGGGUCUGCAUUCGAUACGGGCAGGCUGGAGUGUGGUAGGGGAGAUCGGAAUUCCUGGUGUAGCGGUGAAAUGCGCAGAUAUCAGGAGGAACACCGAUGGCGAAGGCAGGUCUCUGGGCCACUACUGACGCUGAGAAGCGAAAGCAUGGGGAGCGAACAGG
rnacentral:rRNA from 1 species